GGGCGGAUGGGUGAGUAACGCGUGGGUAACCUGCCUUACUGAGGGGGAUAACAACCGGAAAGCGGUUGCUAAAACCGCAUGGGGUAUGAACAUCGCGUGAUGAUCAGAUUAAAUAUUUAUAGGUGUAAGAUGGGCCCGCGUCUGAUUAGCUAGUUGGUGGGGUAAUAGCCUACCAAGGCGAUGAUCAGUAGCCGGUUUGAGAGAGUGACCGGCCACAUUGGGACUGAGACACGGCCCAAACUCAUACGGGAGGCAGCAGUGGGGAAUCUUGCACAAUGGGCGAAAGCCUGAUGCAGCGACGCCGCGUGAGUGAAGACGUACUUCGGUAUGUAAAGCUCUAUCAGCAGGGACGAUAAUGACGGUACCUGACUAAGAAGCCCCGGCUAACUACGUGCCAGCAGCCGCGGUAAUACGUAGGGGGCAAGCGUUAUCCGGAUUUACUGGGUGUA
rnacentral:rRNA from 1 species